GACGAACGCUGGCGGCGUGCUUAACACAUGCAAGUCGAACGGUAAGGCCCUUCGGGGUACACGAGUGGCGAACGGGUGAGUAACACGUGGGUGAUCUGCCCUGCACUUCGGGAUAAGCCUGGGAAACUGGGUCUAAUACCGGAUAGGACCACUGCCUGCAUGGGUGGUGGUGGAAAGCUUUUGCGGUGUGGGAUGGGCCCGCGGGCUAUCAGCUGGUUGGGGGGGUGAUGGCCUACCAAGGCGGCGACGGGUAGCCGGCCUGAGAGGGUGACCGGCCACACGGGGACUGAGAUACGGCCCAGACUCCUACGGGAGGCAGCAGUGGGGAAUAUUGCACAAUGGGCGCAAGCCUGAUGCAGCGACGCCGCGUGAGGGAUGACGGCCUUCGGGUUGUAAACCUCUUUCAGCACCGACGAAGCGCAAGUGACGGUAGGUGCAGAAGAAGGACCGGCCAACUACGUGCCAGCCGCCGCCGUAA
rnacentral:rRNA from 1 species